UACAGAGGUCUCAAGCGUUUGUUCGGAUUCAUUGGGCGUAAAGGGUGCGUAGGCGGCGCGGUAAGUCGGGUGUGAAAUCUUGGAGCUUAACUCCGAAACUGCAUUCGAUACUGCCGUGCUUGAGGACUGGAGAGGAGACUGGAAUUUACGGUGUAGCGGUGAAAUGCGUAGAUAUCGUAAGGAAGACCAGUGGCGAAGGCGGGUCUCUGGACAGUUCCUGACGCUGAAGCACGAAGGCCAGGGGAGCAAACGGG
rnacentral:rRNA from 1 species